rnacentral:lncRNA from 1 species
AUCUAAGGUCGUUUGAGGCACGGGUGAGAUCUCCAUCAACAUAUCUACAGAAAAGGCUGCAGUAGGACAGAUCUGCAAGGUUUGGUUCUAUCUACCUUCUUCUCUAUCUAGAAUAUCCUGAUUUGUGAUCUAUGAAUUGAAAGACCUCGGUCCAGGCCUGAUCUGGUUGGGUACCAGAUCUUGAAUUUUUUAGAGGUGAUCUUAGAGGUGUUCUUUAUCUGGAACGAAAGGCUGACGAAGAAGACAGAAAUCUGGCUGAUUUCGUCAAGGGCCUUCGAUCGAGUUCAGAAGUCUCCAGAUUUGUUCGUUGCUGGUUCUACUGUAUCCAAGGU